rnacentral:ncRNA from 1 species
GGUGUCGCAAGACUUAAUAGGGAAGCCGGUAGAAGCCGGCGCGGUCCCGCCACUGUGAGGUGAGCAGCUCUGCAAGAUGUCACUGGGGGAAACUCUGGGAAGGCGCAGAGCAGCGAUGAACCGAGCCAGGAGAACUGCCUGCUCA